CCUACGGGGGGCAGCAGUGGGGGAUAUUGCACAAUGGGGGAAACCCUGAUGCAGCGACGCCGCGUGUGGGACGACGGUCCUCUGGAUUGUAAACCACUGUCCCCAGGGACGAAGAUGACGGUACCUGGGGAGGAAGCUCCGGCUAACUACGUGCCAGCAGCCGCGGUAAUACGUAGGGAGCGAGCGUUGUCCGGAAUUACUGGGUGUAAGGGGAGCGUAGGCGGGACUGCAAGUUGGGUGUCAAAUCUACCGGCUCAACCGGUAGCCGCACUCAAAACUGCAGUUCUUGAGUGAAGUAGAGGCAGGCGGAAUUCCUAGUGUAGCGGUGAAAUGCGUAGAUAUUAGGAGGAACACCAGUGGCGAAGGCGGCCUGCUGGGCUUGUACUGACGCUGAGGCUCGAAAGUGUGGGGAGCAAACAGGAUUAGAUACCCGUGUAGUC
rnacentral:rRNA from 1 species